rnacentral:misc_RNA from 1 species
AACAUAAAUAUAUUAAAUAAAGACAUCAAAUCCAUCUAAUCAUUAGUAUUAAUAAAAAAAACCCAAAGAUUCUCUGCCAAGAAAAUAACAGCCUUUACUUAACAGUUGGAAAGGGCCAUUACCUUUACAUAACAGUUGUGAUGGCCUUUACAACUGUAAUUUUAAAAAUCCGUUAUAUAAUGGCUGUAACGGUAAUGCUAAGCUUAUUUUCCUUUGAAUAACUAUCUAAAACAAUGGGGUAUACUACAUUCUAGGUUUGUUGAACAUAACUAUCCAAUACAAGUAAAUCUUGUAUCUUUCUUCUUUCAGGUAACUUGAUAUAGAGGAAAAGAGAAGUUCAAACAAGUACGGAGAGAAAAUAAGACAGAAAAAGCAACUGAAUUCUGUUGUUUUCAACUGAUUGGAUUCUAUACAUUCCAGAUUAUAUUGCUACUGCUGAUUAUUGCUUUCAAUAUGAUCACUUGCUAUUCCAACACAAUCUGUAAACUUUUCCUAACUACUAUAGCAACUAACAGCCAGCUUAUUAAUUGUCGUAACUGACAUUCCUGCCAAAGCACUUGAGCUGAAGUUUGAGCUGAUUUCUCCUUGCAUCACUAUCACCACAAAUAAUUUAACCAAAAUUUCCCUUUCCCAGACUAGGGCCUAAAAAACAAACCUGUAAGGCAAACAAUUCAAAGCUCAAGGAAGAGUAAGCUUUAGGAUCAGUCAAAUUUAUAACUAAAUUUUAAAAUAGUUGAGGAGGGACCUAUUUGGGAUGAGCACUUGAUCAAUCUUUAUUAGUCAAUAUUGAGUCAUAUUUUACACUUCUUUAGCCUCUGUUUCUCUCUUGAGUAAGCAGUACCAGCAGCAUAUCUAGUUUGUUUUCUGCAGAAUAAGUACUGAACCCACUCAACUAAAUCUUUAAACAGAAGCCAUAUUACUCAGAUCUUAUGCAACCCUUAAAUCUUCUCUUGCCAUUUAGUUUUGUCCAUAUCACUCAGACCAGAAAUAUCUCCUCAUUCCAACAACUCUGCAAUCCACAGCCCAUAGAUUAACUUUAAUCCGCCUGAUGAAAACUAAACCUUUUUUAUCAAACAUAUCCAUCGAUUUUACUCUUUACACACGCACACAAAGUUGAACACAAAACCUACUUUUGUUUGCAUUGUACGAAACCAUGGCCAGAUUCUGAAGAUGGAAAUGAAUUUUCCAAGAUCCUACACCUGAGCUUUCAAUUUACAAACUAUAUCCCAGGUCAAACCAUAAACCUUAAUUAUAAUCCUGAGAACUCAUUAAACCUUGCUUUGAAUAAGGACUUGCAGCAGCAUUAUCUGACCUGCAACUGUCACCUAGUUAACUGUUCAUUAAAGUUUUUGGACAAUCAUUUUAAAGUCAAUGGAACAUUCUAGCAAGUAAAUUCGAAUUGCACCUGCACAAUGAGAUCAACAGCCUUGUA